rnacentral:tmRNA from 1 species
GCUCCUAAAACACGUUGGCAAAAAAAUAAAUGACAACGAAAUGUUGCCUUUGGCUGCCUAAGUCGUAGCCCGUCGCUCCGAGUGGACUCCUGCUAAACUCGGACGGCGUUAAGCUAGCAGGGAUGUUCUUACUCGAGUGUCUCAGUCCUUUAAGAACAUUAUCGAUCUGGGUCUCGAUCUUGGUAAGCCCGUCUCCCGGCGCUGCCACGAUUUAAAAAAAAUGUGGAGACUAAACAUGUAGAGGGCUUGCGAAAAGCCAUUCGGACAGGGGUUCGACUCCCCUCGCCUCCACCA